rfam:Felis catus isolate Cinnamon breed Abyssinian chromosome B1, whole genome shotgun sequence.
ACCUGAGUGGCUCAGUUGGUUAAGCGUCUGACUUCGGCUCAGGUCAUGAUCUCAGAGUUCGUGGGUUUGAGCCCCACGUCAGGCU